rnacentral:rRNA from 1 species
GAUGAACGCUGGCGGCGUGCCUAACACAUGCAAGUCGAGCGAACAGACGAGGAGCUUGCUCCUCUGACGUUAGCCGCGGACGGGUGUGUCACACGUGUAUAACCCACUUAUCAGACUGGUAUAUUCUCGGGACACCGGAGCUUAUACCGGAUAAUAUAUUGCACCGCAUGGUUCAAUAGUGAAAGACGGCUUUGCUGUCUCUUCUAGAUGCUUCUGCGCCGGAUUAGCUAGUUGGUAAGGUCAAGGCUUAUCAAGGCAACGAUGCGUAGCCGACAUGAGAGGGUGAUCGGCCACACUGGAAGGGAGACACGGUCCAGACGCCUACGGGAGGCAGCAGUAGGGAAUCUUCAGCAAUGGGCGGAAGCCUGACGGAGCAACGCCGAGGGAGUGAUGAGGGUCGUCGGAUCGUAAAACUCUGUUAUUGGGGAAGAACAAAUGUGUAAGUAACUAUGCGCGUCUUGACGGUACAUGGUCAGAAAAGCACGGCUAACUACGUG